rnacentral:rRNA from 1 species
GGAUGAACGCUGGCGGCGUGCCUAAUACAUGCAAGUCGAGCGAACAGAUGAGGAGCUUGCUCCUCUGACGUUAGCGGCGGACGGGUGAGUAACACGUGGAUAACCUACCUAUAAGACUGGGAUAACUUCGGGAAACCGGAGCUAAUACCGGAUAAUAUAUUGAACCGCAUGGUUCAAUAGUGAAAGACGGUUUUGCUGUCACUUAUAGAUGGAUCCGCGCCGCAUUAGCUAGUUGGUAAGGUAACGGCUUACCAAGGCAACGAUGCGUAGCCGACCUGAGAGGGUGAUCGGCCACACUGGAACUGAGACACGGUCCAGACUCCUACGGGAGGCAGCAGUAGGGAAUCUUCCGCAAUGGGCGAAAGCUUGACGGAGCAACGCCGCGUGAGUGAUGAAGGUCUUCGGAUCGUAAAACUCUGUUAUUAGGGAAGAACAAAUGUGUAAGUAACUAUGCACGUCUUGGCGGUACCUAAUCAGAAAGCCACGGCUAACUACGUG